rnacentral:rRNA from 1 species
GACGAACGCUGGCGGCGUGCUUAACACAUGCAAGUCGAACGAUGAUGCCCAGCUUGCCGGGUGGAUUAGUGGCGAACGGGUGAGUAACACGUGAGUAACCUGCCCCUGACUCUGGGAUAAGCGUUGGAAACGACGUCUAAUACUGGAUAUGACUGCCGGCCGCAUGGUCUGGUGGUGGAAAGAUUUUUUGGUUGGGGAUGGACUCGCGGCCUAUCAGCUUGUUGGAGAGGUAAUGGCUCACCAAGGCGACGACGGGUAGCCGGCCUGAGAGGGUGACCGGCCACACUGGGACUGGGACACGGCCCAGACUCCUACGGGAGGCAGCAGUGGGGUAUAUUGCACAAUGGGCGAAAGCCUGAUGCAGCAACGCCGCGUGAGGGAUGACGGCCUUCGGGUUGUAAACCUCUUUUAGUAGGGAAGAAGCGAAAGUGACGGUACCUGCAGAAAAAGCACCGGCUAACUACGUGCCAGCCGCCGCGGUAA